UUGGUCCGCCGCCGCUUCGCGCCGCCGCUCUCGCUUCCCAUUGGUGGGCGCGGUUCUCACCGGCGGCGUUCUGGCCGCUGAUUGGCUGGCGGCGGUUCCCGGGCUCCGUGAGGGCUCGGUGAGGGCUCGGUUCCGUGAGGGCUCCGCCAUGGCGGCCGCGCUGGAGGAGGCCGUGGGCACCGUGUGCUGGUGGGGGCUGUCCCCGGCCAUCGAUCUCCGCCUGCACCUCCCGGCGGAACCGGAGCCCGCGGCGGAGGCCUCGGUGCUGCUGGUGGGGGCGGCCGAGGGCCGGCACCUGCUGAUGACGGCGGCCCGGGCCCGCCGGGGGCCCCCCCGCUCCAUCACCCUGUUCGUGGCCGAGCAGAGCCCCGAGCCCGUGGCUCGCCAGCUCCUCUUCCUCCUGCUGGCGCUGGAAGCCCCGGAGCGGCCCAGACCCGCAGCCCGCGCCGCCGCCGUGCUGGAGCUGCUGGGCUCGGGCUCGCUGCGGGCGGGCACGGCCGCGCUGCUGCGCGGGGCCGCGGGCCGGCUCCGCCGCUGGCUCGGCACCGACCGCCACCGGGACCCGCACCGGGACCCGCACCGGGACCCGCACCGGGACGGGCCCGCCGACCUGCGCCUCAUGAAGUGCCGGGACCGGGACGCGCUCGAGGCUGUUCUGCGGCGCUGGGAGCGGGCGCUGCCGGGCCCGGGGGCGGUACCGGGAUCCGAACCGGGGGCGGUACCGGGGCCCCCGGGCUGGGACCGGCGGCUGCGGCGGCGCCUCGGGCCCCGGUACGAGUCCCGGGCGGCCGUGGCGGACUGGGAGCUGCGGAUGGCGCUGCACCCGCGGGGGGCCACCUCGGUGUCACCGGCCGAGUUCGGGCGCUGGCGCGAGAGCGGCGACGCCUUCGGGGGAGGGGGCGCGACCCCCAACCCCACGGUGCUGAGCGACCCCCGGCCCCGGGCCGACGGGCAGUCGGUGUCGCCGCCCGCCUACUGGGGGGACACGGUCACCGGACCCUUCCUCAGCUUCGGCCUCGAGCCCGGCGGGCUCCGGAGCCCCCCGAAGACCGCCACCGAGCUGUCCCUGGCCGUUGUCACCGCGCUGCUGCACGAGCUGCUCACCGGGGACCCCCCCGGGGACCCCCCCGGGGACACCCCCGGGGACCGGGACCCCCCCCCCGGGGAGCGGGACCCCCCCCCCGAGGAGCGGGACCCCCCCCCCGGGGAGCGGGACCCCCCCCCCGGGACCGGGACCCCCCCCCCGGGGAGCGGGACCCCCCCUGUGACGAUUCCAGCCCGCUGGGGCGCUGCCGGCGCUGACCCCCGCGCUGGGCGCUCUGGCGGCGCCCGGGGCCACGCUGCUGCUGGAGCUGCCCACGUUCGUGCCCACCCUGCGCCCCCCCGAGCUCCGGGCGUUCCGGGCGCGGGCGGCGGCGCUGGCGCGGGCGGGGGGCUUCGAGCCCUGGGGGGGGCCCGGGGAGCCCCCGGCCCACGCGCGCUUCCGCAGGGUCCCCCCGCACUGAGACCCCUCCCCAAAAUAGCCCAAAAUCAGCCCCCAAUCCUUCCUUGGCCCCGAGACCCCUCCCCAAAUUACCGCCCCAAAAUCAGCCCCAAAUCCCCUUCCUGUUCCCGAGACCCCUCCCCGAAUUACUGCCCCAAAAUCAGCCCCAAAUCCCUUCUUGACUCCGAGACCCCUCCUCAAAUUACCGCCCCAAAAUCAGCCCCAAAUCCCCAUCCCUGUUCCCGAGACCCCUCCUCAAAUUAACCCCAAAAUCAGCCCCAAAUCCCCUUCCUGUUCCCGAGACCCCUCCCCGAAUUACCGCCCCAAAAUCAGCCCCAAAUCCCCUUCCUGUUCCCGAGACCCCUCCCCGAAUUACUGCCCCAAAAUCAGCCCCCAAAUCCCUCCUUGGCCACAGGACCCCUCCCCAAAUUACCCUCUGAAUCAGCCCCAAAUCCCUCCUUGGCCCCGAGACCCCUCCUCAAAUUACCCCCCAAUAUCAGCCCCCAAAUCUCCUUCCUGUCCCCGAGACCCCUCCCCAAAUUGUCCUGUCAGUGCCUGAGACCCCCACCCCAAAUUCCCGUCCCUCACCCCGAGACCCCUCCCCAAAUUGCCCUGCCUCAAAACCCCCCCAAAAUUCGCCCCAGCCCUGAGACCCCCCCUCAAAUCCCCCCAAAAUCCCCCCCCCAAAUUCCCUCCCAGGCCCCCUUUAAGCCCCGCCCAUUCCCAUUGCUAACCCCGCCCCCUGUGCGAGGCCACGCCCCCUCCCAUUCAUAAAGCGCCGCCGCUUUCCCACGGCUCCGGCCCCGCAGCCCCCCUCCCUCUACCUUAUCAGCACCGGCCCCAAAUAGGGGCAGGUUUGGGGGCGGGGGAGGGGUUGGAAUUUGGGGGGGGGGGUCCCGUGACCCCCCCUGACCCCCCUGUGCCCCCCCCCCCGUGUC